GAUGAAGAACGUAGCGAAAUGCGAUAAGUAAUGUGAAUUGCAGAAUUCAGUGAAUCAUCGAAUCUUUGAACGCACAUUGCGCCCAUUAGUAUUCUAGUGGGCAUGCCUGUUCGAGCGUCAUUUCAACCCUUAAGCCUAGCUUAGUAUUGGGAAUCGACUUUACUGUCGUUCCUCAAAUUCAACGGCGGAUUUAUAGCAAUCUCUGAACGUAGUAAUUUUUUUCCUCGUUUUUGAAAUACUAUAAACCUCAGCCGCUAAACCCCCAAUUUUUUUAUGGUUGACCUCGGAUCAGGUAGGAAUACCCGCUGAACUUAAGCAUAUCAAUAAGCGGAGGA
rnacentral:misc_RNA from 1 species